UUGGAUCUUGGCAGGUCCUAUCCUUCUUGAGGAUUACCAUCUCGUCGAGAAGCUUGCCAACUUCGACAGGGAGCGUAUUCCAGAACGUGUGGUUCACGCAAGAGGAGCCAGUGCAAAGGGUUUCUUCGAGGUCACGCAUGAUAUAUCCAACCUAACGUGUGCAGACUUCCUUAGAGCUCCAGGUGUACAGACACCGGUCAUUGUCCGUUUCUCCACCGUUAUCCAUGAACGUGGAAGUCCCGAGACCUUGAGAGACCCUCGUGGCUUCGCAGUCAAGUUCUACACUAGAGAAGUAAGUCAUCACUUCUUUUUAACAAAUUAAUAAAAAUAGAUAUUUCUUGCUAAACAAGUAAGUGAUUGUUCUUUCCGAUCAGGGGAACUUUGAUCUUGUCGGAAACAACUUCCCUGUCUUCUUCAUAAGGGACGGGAUGAAGUUCCCUGACAUGGUCCACGCGCUUAAACCAAACCCUAAAUCUCACAUUCAAGAAAACUGGAGAGUCCUUGACUUCUUCUCACACAAGGCAGCAAGACACACGCCAUUUAUAAAUAUGCAAGCAAAUAUUAAAAUCAUCUCCAUCUCCUCGUUUUGCUAAAUCCCUGAAUCUCUCCAAACUCUCUCUAUCUUUCUACUAUGGAUCCUUACAAGGUAACAACUCUCCCCUAUGUCUAUCACCUCUUCGUCUUGAAUGUUUGGUUAAAUCAGGAUGAUGCUUCUGAUUGAUGCAGUAUCGGCCGGCGAGUUCUUACAACUCUCCAUUCUUCACCACCAACUCUGGCGCUCCUGUAUGGAACAACAACUCCUCCAUGACCGUUGGACCCAGAGGUAUCCUCUCAAUCUUACUAUGACCGUACUUCAUAUGGUUUACAUCUGUAAGAAAUGUUAACGUUACACACUUCUGUUUGUGUUGGAUCUUGGCAGGUCCUAUCCUUCUUGAGGAUUACCAUCUCGUCGAGAAGCUUGCCAACUUCGACAGGGAGCGUAUUCCAGAACGUGUGGUUCACGCAAGAGGAGCCAGUGCAAAGGGUUUCUUUGAGGUCACGCAUGAUAUAUCCAACCUAACGUGUGCAGACUUCCUCAGAGCUCCAGGUGUACAGACACCGGUCAUUGUCCGUUUCUCCACCGUUAUCCAUGAACGUGGAAGUCCCGAGACCUUGAGAGACCCUCGUGGCUUCGCAGUCAAGUUCUACACCAGAGAA
rnacentral:lncRNA from 1 species